rnacentral:rRNA from 1 species
AUGUCCUUUUGUUAUUUAUAUAAGGUCUAACCUGCCCAAUGAAUAUUUGAAUGGCCGCAGUAUUUUAACUGUGCUAAGGUAGCAUAAUCAAUUGUCUCUUAAUUGGGGGCUGGAAUGAAUGGUUGUACGAAAUAUUUACUUUCUUUAAUUUAUAUGUUUAAUUUAACUUUUUAGUUAAAAGGCUUAAAUUUUUUUAAGGGACGAGAAGACCCUAUAGAUCUUUAUAUUUAGCUGAUUAUGGAUUAAAUUGGUGUUAAUAAUUAUUUUUAUUUAGUUGAAUAUUUUGUUGGGGUGAUGUUGAAAUUUUAAUAACUUUCAUAUAUUUUUCAUUAAUUAGUGUAUUUAAUGAUCUUUUAUUAUUGAUUAUAAGAUUAAGUUACCUUAGGGAUAACAGCGUUAUUUUUACGGAGAGUUCUUAUCGAUGUAUGAGUUUGCGACCUCGAUGUUGGAUUAAAAUAAAUAAUAGGUGUAGUAGUUUAUUGAUUAGGUCUGUUCGACCUUUAAAUUUUUACAU